rnacentral:rRNA from 1 species
AGUGAACGCUGGCGGUAGGCCUAACACAUGCAAGUCGAACGGCAGCACAGUAAGAGCUUGCUCUUACGGGUGGCGAGUGGCGGACGGGUGAGGAAUACAUCGGAAUCUACUUUUUCGUGGGGGAUAACGUAGGGAAACUUACGCUAAUACCGCAUACGACCAACGGGUGAAAGCAGGGGAUCUUCGGACCUUGCGCGGUUGAAUGAGCCGAUGUCGGAUUAGCUAGUUGGCGGGGUAAAGGCCCACCAAGGCGACGAUCCGUAGCUGGUCUGAGAGGAUGAUCAGCCACACUGGAACUGAGACACGGUCCAGACUCCUACGGGAGGCAGCAGUGGGGAAUAUUGGACAAAGGGCGCAAGCCUGAUCCAGCCAUACCGCGUGGGUGAAGAAGGCCUUCGGGUUGUAAAGCCCUUUUGUUGGGAAAGAAAAGCAGCAGGUUAAUACCCCGCUGUCCUGACGGUACCCAAAGAAUAAGCACCGGCUAACUUCGUG